UACGUAGGGUCCGAGCGUUGUCCGGAAUUAUUGGGCGUAAAGGGCUCGUAGGCGGUUUGUCGCGUCGGGCGUGAAAACCCGGGGCUUAACCCCGUGCCUGCUUCCGAUACGGGCAGACUAGAGGUAUGCAGGGGAGAACGGAAUUCCUGGUGUAGCGGUGAAAUGCGCAGAUAUCAGGAGGAACACCGGUGGCGAAGGCGGUUCUCUGGGCAUUACCUGACGCUGAGGAGCGAAAGUGUGGGGAGCGAACAGG
rnacentral:rRNA from 1 species